rnacentral:rRNA from 1 species
GAUGAACGCUGGCGGCGUGCCUAAUACAUGCAAGUCGAGCGGUAAGGCCUCUUCGGAGGUACACGAGCGGCGGACGGCUGAGUAACGCGUAGGAACGUACCCCAAAGUGAGGGAUAAGCACCAGAAAUGGUGUCUAAUACCGCAUGUGGCCCACGGGCUAAAGCUUCGGCGCUUUGGGAACGGCCUGCGUAAGAUUAGCUAGUUGGUGAGGUAAUGGCUCACCAAGGCGACGAUCUUUAGCUGGUCUGAGAGGAUGAUCAGCCAGACUGGGACUGAGACACGGCCCAGACUCCUACGGGAGGCGGCAGUAGGGAAUUUUCCACAAUGGGCGAAAGCCUGAUGGAGCAACGCCGCGUGCAGGAUGAAUGCCUUCGGGUUGUAAACUGCUUUUAUAUGCGACGAAUAUGACGGUAGCAUAUGAAUAAGGAUCGGCUAACUCCGUGCCAGCCGCCGCCGUAA